GAAAUCGGAAUUUCUUACCUUUAUGGAAUGGAAAAGAAAAGGAUUCAAGAAGGUUUCAAGAAAUUCCACUAUAAUGGAGAUGUGGGUUUUAUGGAGUUCUUGAAGGAACUCAAGAGAUAUGGCUAUGGAGAUGAUUUAGAGAUGAGAAAUAUCUUGAAAGACUUAUGGUGGAAAGAUGGAAAUUUUGGGUAAUAUUUCUUGGUGGGGUUAUGGUGGUGUUUGUCUUGGCCGAAAGAAA
rnacentral:lncRNA from 1 species